GACGAGGGGUCCUAGCGUUGCUCGGAAUCAUUGGGCGUAAAGCGAAUGUAGGCGGCUUUGCAAGUCAGUUGUGAAAUCCCCAGGCUUAACUUGGGAACUGCUUCUGAUACUGCAGAGCUAGAGUACGGGAGAGGGCAGUAGAAUUCCUGGUGUAGUGGUGAAAUACGUAGAUAUCAGGAGGAAUACCGGCGGCGAAGGCGGCUGCCUGGCCCAAUACUGACGCUGAGAUUCGAAAGCGUGGGGAUCAAACAGG
rnacentral:rRNA from 1 species